UGAUAGGCGGCAAAACCGCCCUGCGCUGACCGUUUGGUUGAUUUCCUAUGGGGAGAGCGGUGCCGCCCAUCUAUGCGCUGCGCUACCCCUGGCGUUUUGCCGCUUUGCGGUGCGCUCAAAGUUUCAAUUAUUUCAACUUUGACCUAGUUGCCGCUGACCUAUAUGAUAUCAGCUAUCGUCACCUAGCAACGGGAAAUAGCUUCCUUGCCACCCUUAAUGACGAAUACCUGCGCUGCGCUUUGCUCUGCGCCCUACCUAGCGGUGCGCAGAGAGCAAAUCGCUUAUCAUGUGUAGGCACCUUUGUGUG